AAUUUGCACGCCAGCAGCUGCUUCUUGAGGUUCUGCCUCAAUUUUAAAAUAGAACAGACAACCCAAGGAGAAGGGAACUGCCGUGUGCAUCAUCACAGUAUCAAAGGAAGUGCACAACAAGCUGGCAUGUCUGUCAGUCAGGGCCCGCCCCUUCACCCUGAAGCCCAACUCCGUCAGAUUGGACAGUCGAACCAAUACAGACCCGCCUACUUGCCACUGCCUGCGUGGGAAAAAAAUAAAAAAUCAACUAAGCUUUUGGGUAGGCACGUGCAGGGCUCUAGAAAUAUGGGACGCGCAGUUCCAUAAUCAACACGAUGGACUACAUGAUUGGAAAAGAAGCCCUGCAGAGAAAGGCCCGUGCAGCCCGGCACCAUCUGGGUGUGACUGAUACACUCAUUCCUCUGGAAUCUCAACUGCACAGCCACUCCAACACAGACUCUGUGUGUGCAUUUAGAAGAAAGAGAAAAGAAGGAGGCGGAUCCAAUCACAUGUUGUCAUGACCCAACCCAAACACAACAUGGCAAGGGAACAAAAAGAUCCAUUUAAAAAAAAUGCAAAAAAUGGACGCAGGAAAUAAAAAGACAUGUGGAGAUCAGACAUAUUUCCGCUGGCCUGUGCAGAACUUCAAAGCAUGUGCGAAUAACACACGGGAAACUUCCGGUCAGUAGUCAGAUGUUAUGUAAGAAGGACCAGGAAAAAAAUGAAACCUAGGCUUCCUCUGCUACGCAUGCUGCCUGCUCUUGACAGUUAGUUAAUCCUUUUAACUAGUCGAGUGACUCGAGAAGGGAUUGCUGUGGAGAGCAGCGCCUUCUUGUGUCUAAUAAUACUCGCAACACUCAAGUGGCAAUAAGGAAGAGGCGCUCGCUCCUGUCUAUCAUCUCACACUUGGGUGCUAUUUUUUCCACGCGGAGAAAGGCUUCUUCUGGUGUCCUGAAUUAUUCCACACCUUUUAAAGAGUGAUAACCAAAUCAGCUUUCUGGUAAGAAUAUUUGUGUUUGAUUAUCUGAGAAGAGCAAAUCUGCUUUAACAGCUCCACUCUCCCGAUUGAGGCAACAAAACGUCUCGUUGUGCUUUUUACCCAGACAAAGAGCAUGUGUGUCUCAGAAAGCCAACAUUGCAUGCUUGGACUGGAUACAAAUGCCUUACUUGGUCACCCCUAACAACACUUAUCUCUAUUGUCGAAUAAUGAACCAAAGCAGACCUUGGCCCCACCCGUACAGAGCUUGUU